GACAGAGGCCUCGAGCGUUAGGCGGAAUCACUGGGCUUAAAGCGUGUGUAGGCGGCUGCCUAAGUACCUUGUGAAAUCCCACGGCUCACCCGUGGAACCGCUGGGUAUACUGGGCAUCUUGGGCCAUUCAGGGGCAACUGGAACAAGCGGUGGAGCGGUGAAAUGCGUAGAUAUCGCUUGGAACGCCGACGGUGAAAACAGGUUGCUGGGAAUGUGCCGACGCUGAGACACGAAAGCCAGGGGAGCAAACGGG
rnacentral:rRNA from 1 species